rnacentral:rRNA from 1 species
UACGGGGGGGGCAAGCGUUGUUCGGAAUUACUGGGCGUAAAGGGCUCGUAGGCGGCCAACUAAGUCGGACGUGAAAUCCCUCGGCUUAACCGGGGAACUGCGUCCGAUACUGGAUGGCUUGAGUUCGGGAGAGGGAUGCGGAAUUCCAGGUGUAGCGGUGAAAUGCGUAGAUAUCUGGAGGAACACCGGUGGCGAAGGCGGCUACCUGGACAGAAACUGACGCUGAGGCGCGAAAGCUAGGGGAGCAAACAGG